rnacentral:rRNA from 1 species
GACAGAGGGGGCAAGCGUUGCUCGGAAUCACUGGGCGUAAAGGGCGCGUAGGCGGGAUGGCAAGUCGGUCGUGAAAUCCUUCGGCUCAACCGAAGAACGUCGGCCGAUACUGCCGUUCUUGAGGGAUGCAGAGGAGAUUGGAAUUCCCGGUGUAGCGGUGAAAUGUGUAGAGAUCGGGAGGAACAGCCGGUGGCGAAAGCGGCUUCCUGGUCCAGCACCGACGUUCAGGCACGGAAAGCGAUGGGGAGCAAACAGGG